GAUGAACGCUGGCGGCGUGCCUAAUACAUGCGAGUCGAGCGAACAGAUGAGGAGCUUGCUCCUCUGACGUUAGCGGCGGACGGGUGAGUAACACGUGGAUAACCUACCUAUAAGACUGGGAUAACUUCGGGAAACCGGAGCUAAUACCGGAUAAUAUAUUGAACCGCAUGGUUCAAUAGUGAAAGACGGUUUUGCUGUCACUUAUAGAUGGAUCCGCGCCGCAUUAGCUAGUUGGUAAGGUAACGGCUUACCAAGGCAACGAUGCGUAGCCGACCUGAGAGGGUGAUCGGCCACACUGGAACUGAGACACGGUCCAGACUCCUACGGGAGGCAGCAGUAGGGAAUCUUCCGCAAUGGGCGAAAGCCUGACGGAGCAACGCCGCGUGAGUGAUGAAGGUCUUCGGAUCGUAAAACUCUGUUAUUAGGGAAGAACAAAUGUGUAAGUAACUAUGCACGUCUUGACGGUACCUAAUCAGAAAGUCACGGCUAACUACGUG
rnacentral:rRNA from 1 species